GACGAACGCUGGCGGCGUGCUUAACACAUGCAAGUCGAACGGAGUGGCGAACGGGUGAGUAACCCGUUGGUGACCUGCCCUGCACUUCGGGAUAAGCCUGGGAAACUGGGUCUAUACCGGAUAGUGGGGGAUGGGUCCGCGGCCUAUCGGCUUGUUGGUGGGGUAAUGGCCUACCAAGGCGGCGACGGGUAGCCGGCCUGAGAGGGUGGACGGCGACAAUGGGACUGCGGCACGGACCAGAAGCCUACGGGAGGCAGCAGUGGGGAAUAUGGCACAACGAGCGGAAGCGUGAUGCAGAGACGCCGGGUGGGGGAUGACGGCCUUCGGGUGGUAAACUCCUUUGACCAUCGACGCGGUAGAUGGAGAAGAAGCACCGGCUAACUACGUGCCAGCAGCCGCGGUAAUUC
rnacentral:rRNA from 1 species